rnacentral:rRNA from 1 species
UACGAAGGGGCUAGCGUUGCUCGGAAUCACUGGGCGUAAAGGGUGCGUAGGCGGGUCUUUAAGUCAGGGGUGAAAUCCUGGAGCUCAACUCCAGAACUGCCUUUGAUACUGAGGAUCUUGAGUUCGGGAGAGGUGAGUGGAACUGCGAGUGUAGAGGUGAAAUUCGUAGAUAUUCGUAAGAACACCAGUGGCGAAGGCGACUUUCUGGCUCGAUACUGACGCUAAGGCGCGAAAGCGUGGGGAGCAAACAGGG